UAAAGUGGUACGCGAGCUGGGUUUAGAACGUCGUGAGACAGUUCGGUCCCUAUCUGCCGUGGGCGCUGGAGAAUUGAGGGGGGCUACUCCUAGUACGAGAGGACCGGAGUGGACGCAUCACUGGUGUUCGGGUUGUCAUGCCAAUGGCACUGCCCGGUAGCUAAAUGCGGAAGAGAUAAGUGCUGAAAGCAUCUAAGCACGAAACUUGCCCCGAGAUGAGUUCUCCCUGACUCCUUGAGAGUCCUGAAGGAACGUUGAAGACGACGACGUUGAUAGGCCGGGUGUGUAAGCGCAGCGAUGCGUUGAGCUAACCGGUACUAAUGAACCGUGAGGCUUAACCUUACAACGCCGAAG
rnacentral:rRNA from 1 species